GCAGCAUGUGUGCUGGCUCCAAUAUUUCGAUUUCAAUCCAACCCAGCUUCUGACGAUGUUAAGUACGUGGCCUCUUUUGGACUUCAGAAUUAAAAAGAGUAUCUGAAUAAAGCUUCCUUUUAUUUGAGAAGAGAAGCACUCUUUUGAAACUGUCUCAGAUAACAUACUUGGCUGCCAGCACAUUUUGAGAAAGACAGGAAAGCUUCUUGUCGAACGUAAAUGAACCCAUGGUGUGCAGUGUCUGCUGCUUUUAUUCUUUUGAGAACUGUUCCUGCUUUGCUAGUGGAACCAAGGCCUUGAGCUGGAAAAACUCCUGUGCUGUACUCAGUGCUUUGAGGUCUACGUUACGCAGGCCAGUCCUCAGCAAAGAAAUGGACUAAAUGACCACCUCACACCCCUUCCAGGCUUGUUUUUGUGACUCUGAAGUCAGGUGAACAAUUUUUGUUAAGUAUUCUUCUCUCAUCUUAGCAAUAUUACAUUUGCACUGUUUACCACAUAUGACAAAAAUUCAUGCAUAUUGUCCCAUUUGGUCAUCUGACCAUAAGUAAUACUUUGCUGUUUUUAGUAUUUCAUCAGAAAACAAUACCAUCUAUUUCUUAGAACCUCAGAUUCUGAAAUGUAUGAAUCAUGUAAUAAAAUGGCGUUGAUUUUAAACA
rnacentral:lncRNA from 1 species